rnacentral:tRNA from 1 species
GGAAUUGUGGCUCAGUGGCAGAGCCCUUGCCUUGCAAGUAUGAAGCACUGCGUUCGAUCCUCAGCACCA